GGGUUAGUAGGUUGGUCAUGCCUCUGGUAUGGACUGAUCUCACUGAUUCCUCCCUCUUGACGAACUGUAAUGUCAUUAAUUUGGUGUUGCAGGAAAUCAGGACUGUUACUUUGAAAAAAUUAGAGUGUUUAAAGCAGGCUAAGGCUUGAAUACAUUAGCAUGGAAUAAUGAAAUAGG
rnacentral:rRNA from 1 species